rnacentral:rRNA from 1 species
UUGGAGGGCAAGUCUGGUGCCAGCAGCCGCGGUAAUUCCAGCUCCAAUAGCGUAUAUUAAAGUUGUUGCAGUUAAAAAGCUCGUAGUUGAACUUCGAGCCUGGUUGGGUGGUCUGCCUUCACGGUAUGUACUGCUCGGCCGGGUUCUACCUCUUGGUGAGCCGGCAUGCCCUUCACUGGGUGUGUCGGGGAACCAGGACUUUUACCUUGAGAAAAUUAGAGUGUUCAAAGCAGGCCUUUGCCCGAAUACAUUAGCAUGGCAUAAUAAAAUAGGACGUGCGGUUCUAUUUUGUUGGUUUCUAGGAUCGCCGUAAUGAUUAAUAGGGAUAGUUGGGGGCAUUUGUAUUCCGUUGCUAGAGGUGAAAUUCUUGGAUUUACGGAAGACAAACUUCUGCGAAAGCAUUUGCCAAGGAUGUUUUCAUUAAUCAAGAACGAAGGUUAGGGGAUCGAAAACGAUCAGAUACCGUUGUAGUCUUAACAGUAAACUAUGCCGACUAGGGAUCGGGCGAUCUCAAUUUUAUGUGUCGUUCGGCGCCUUACGGGAAA